UACACUAAAACUGCUUUAUUUAAAGUAAUUUAGGUGACUUUAGUGUUCCUUUAAGCAUUUUGUAGUGUGGUUGUGGGUUUUGUUUUGUUUUGUUUUUUUAAAUGCACCCAUUUUCAGUAAUGGCCAUGCGCUUAGUUGGUCAUGACAUCCAUUUCAUAACGCAAUUCUUAUGUCUCAGGUUUUUUUUUUUGGUUUUUUUUUAACUGCUUUCUUCAGAUCCCAAAGCAAUUAUUUUGUUUUUGUGGUGUCACGCUGUUGCACAAUAUUUUUGCACUGGGGUUGGUAGGGACCAUAGUCCGUUAUUUGUAAUGGUGUAAUAAAUAGAUUAAACACUUUGGUAUAGUUGGCAAAAAGUGAAAUGAUAAGGAAUAGAAAUUAAACUGUGUGCAUAUUAAAGCAAUAGUACGUGUAACAUUUACCAUCUUGAAUUAUUAUAUAUGUAACCUCUGCAUAAACUGCCUUAUGGGGAAGUGUAUAUAAAUUCUACCAAAGUAUAAGCUUGCUGACCGUUAAAGGGGC